AAUUGAUCGGAGUAUAUAUAUAUUCUCUUACUAAAAUCCCUAGCCCUCUCAUUAGGGCCAAGUGAUACAAAUUGUAGGAGCCACUCCCAUCAACUUUCCACAACAUAGAACACACAUUCCACUUGUAACAAGUGUUUUGCUUUGAUAGCAUUCACACAAGCCAUGCUUGUAUGAACUACUAACCUAACAAUUGUGACAAGGCGAAACCUUUCCUCUCAAUCCAGUGCCUUGCUUAUUGCCCUCCCUUCCAAUCCA
rnacentral:misc_RNA from 1 species